rnacentral:rRNA from 1 species
AGCGUACACGGUGGAUGCCCUGGCAGUCAGAGGCGAUGAAGGACGUGCUAAUCUGCGAUAAGCGUCGGUAAGGUGAUAUGAACCGUUAUAACCGGCGAUUUCCGAAUGGGGAAACCCAGUGUGAUUCGUCACACUAUCAUUAACUGAAUCCAUAGGUUAAUGAGGCGAACCGGGGGAACUGAAACAUCUAAGUACCCCGAGGAAAAGAAAUCAACCGAGAUUCCCCCAGUAGCGGCGAGCGAACGGGGAGGAGCCCAGAGCCUGAAUCAGUGUGUGUGUUAGUGGAAGCGUCUGGAAAGGCGCGCGAUACAGGGUGACAGCCCCGUACACAAAAAUGCACAUGCUGUGAGCUCGAUGAGUAGGGCGGGACACGUGGUAUCCUGUCUGAAUAUGGGGGGACCAUCCUCCAAGGCUAAAUACUCCUGACUGACCGAUAGUGAACCAGUACCGUGAGGGAAAGGCGAAAAGAACCCCGGCGAGGGGAGUGAAAAAGAACCUGAAACCGUGUACGUACAAGCAGUGGGAGCACGCUUAGGCGUGUGACUGCGUACCUUUUGUAUAAUGGGUCAGCGACUUAUAUUCUGUAGCAAGGUUAACCGAAUAGGGGAGCCGAAGGGAAACCGAGUCUUAACUGGGCGUUAAGUUGCAGGGUAUAGACCCGAAACCCGGUGAUCUAGCCAUGGGCAGGUUGAAGGUUGGGUAACACUAACUGGAGGACCGAACCGACUAAUGUUGAAAAAUUAGCGGAUGACUUGUGGCUGGGGGUGAAAGGCCAAUCAAACCGGGAGAUAGCUGGUUCUCCCCGAAAGCUAUUUAGGUAGCGCCUCGUGAAUUCAUCUCCGGGGGUAGAGCACUGUUUCGGCAAGGGGGUCAUCCCGACUUACCAACCCGAUGCAAACUGCGAAUACCGGAGAAUGUUAUCACGGGAGACACACGGCGGGUGCUAACGUCCGUCGUGAAGAGGGAAACAACCCAGACCGCCAGCUAAGGUCCCAAAGUCAUGGUUAAGUGGGAAACGAUGUGGGAAGGCCCAGACAGCCAGGAUGUUGGCUUAGAAGCAGCCAUCAUUUAAAGAAAGCGUAAUAGCUCACUGGUCGAGUCGGCCUGCGCGGAAGAUGUAACGGGGCUAAACCAUGCACCGAAGCUGCGGCAGCGACGCUUAUGCGUUGUUGGGUAGGGGAGCGUUCUGUAAGCCUGUGAAGGUGUACUGUGAGGUAUGCUGGAGGUAUCAGAAGUGCGAAUGCUGACAUAAGUAACGAUAAAGCGGGUGAAAAGCCCGCUCGCCGGAAGACCAAGGGUUCCUGUCCAACGUUAAUCGGGGCAGGGUGAGUCGACCCCUAAGGCGAGGCCGAAAGGCGUAGUCGAUGGGAAACAGGUUAAUAUUCCUGUACUUGGUGUUACUGCGAAGGGGGGACGGAGAAGGCUAUGUUGGCCGGGCGACGGUUGUCCCGGUUUAAGCGUGUAGGCUGGUUUUCCAGGCAAAUCCGGAAAAUCAAGGCUGAGGCGUGAUGACGAGGCACUACGGUGCUGAAGCAACAAAUGCCCUGCUUCCAGGAAAAGCCUCUAAGCAUCAGGUAACAUCAAAUCGUACCCCAAACCGACACAGGUGGUCAGGUAGAGAAUACCAAGGCGCUUGAGAGAACUCGGGUGAAGGAACUAGGCAAAAUGGUGCCGUAACUUCGGGAGAAGGCACGCUGAUAUGUAGGUGAAGUCCCUCGCGGAUGGAGCUGAAAUCAGUCGAAGAUACCAGCUGGCUGCAACUGUUUAUUAAAAACACAGCACUGUGCAAACACGAAAGUGGACGUAUACGGUGUGACGCCUGCCCGGUGCCGGAAGGUUAAUUGAUGGGGUUAGCGCAAGCGAAGCUCUUGAUCGAAGCCCCGGUAAACGGCGGCCGUAACUAUAACGGUCCUAAGGUAGCGAAAUUCCUUGUCGGGUAAGUUCCGACCUGCACGAAUGGCGUAAUGAUGGCCAGGCUGUCUCCACCCGAGACUCAGUGAAAUUGAACUCGCUGUGAAGAUGCAGUGUACCCGCGGCAAGACGGAAAGACCCCGUGAACCUUUACUAUAGCUUGACACUGAACAUUGAGCCUUGAUGUGUAGGAUAGGUGGGAGGCUUUGAAGUGUGGACGCCAGUCUGCAUGGAGCCGACCUUGAAAUACCACCCUUUAAUGUUUGAUGUUCUAACGUGGACCCGUAAUCCGGGUUGCGGACAGUGUCUGGUGGGUAGUUUGACUGGGGCGGUCUCCUCCUAAAGAGUAACGGAGGAGCACGAAGGUUGGCUAAUCCUGGUCGGACAUCAGGAGGUUAGUGCAAUGGCAUAAGCCAGCUUGACUGCGAGCGUGACGGCGCGAGCAGGUGCGAAAGCAGGUCAUAGUGAUCCGGUGGUUCUGAAUGGAAGGGCCAUCGCUCAACGGAUAAAAGGUACUCCGGGGAUAACAGGCUGAUACCGCCCAAGAGUUCAUAUCGACGGCGGUGUUUGGCACCUCGAUGUCGGCUCAUCACAUCCUGGGGCUGAAGUAGGUCCCAAGGGUAUGGCUGUUCGCCAUUUAAAGUGGUACGCGAGCUGGGUUUAGAACGUCGUGAGACAGUUCGGUCCCUAUCUGCCGUGGGCGCUGGAGAACUGAGGGGGGCUGCUCCUAGUACGAGAGGACCGGAGUGGACGCAUCACUGGUGUUCGGGUUGUCAUGCCAAUGGCACUGCCCGGUAGCUAAAUGCGGAAGAGAUAAGUGCUGAAAGCAUCUAAGCACGAAACUUGCCCCGAGAUGAGUUCU